GCGAACGGCGGCCGAGCGGCCGCGGGGACACGUAGGGGGCGAGCGUUAGCCGGUUUCACUGGGGGGAAAGCGCAUGCAGGCGGUUUGGUAAGUUGGGCGUGAAAGCUCCCGGCUCAACUGGGAGAGGUCGUUCAAUACUACCGAACUUGAGAGUAGAAGAGGAAGAUGGAAUUCCCGGUGUAGUGGUGAAAUGCGUAGAUAUCGGGAGGAACACCAGUGGCGAAGGCGAUCUUCUGGUCUAUUUCUGACGCUCAUAUGCGACAGCUAGGGUAGUAAACGGGAUUAGAUACCCUGGUAGUC
rnacentral:rRNA from 1 species